AAUGGGAAUUUGUUGUGUUCGACUGUUCAGCAUAUCGUCGAGAAGAAUGCUAAUUUCCUAAGUGAAAUUGAUUUGAAACGAUUAAAAAUAAUUUCGUACCCUUGUACAAAAUCAUUAAAGAACUUUUCGAAGGAACUUUUUAUCGAUAAUCGGCUCGUUGAAGUUUGGAUCGUUACUUGGGUCUUCUAAAGCAGACUCGUCGUUUCUCGUUAUUUGCGGUACACGUAGCACGAACGUCUGCUUAAUGGUGUCUAAAAUCAUGGAUGGUCUCGAAUAAGGCAAUUGCGAGUCGAUCGACGAGAAGGAAUCCGCACCGGGCGAUAUAAUCAGAGGUUUGUCGUAGCUCGUAAACUUUCCUUCUCUGCAUUUUACGAAGAAGUAAAGAAGAUGUUAACCAUGAAACAGAUCAUCAAAAUCCAAAAUUCGUUAAUACGAUGAAAUUAACUUACGCGAGAACGGCUCCAAAUCCGAUAUGAGAUAACAAAUCUUUGGUUUUCCGUAAGAGAAUCUUUUCCUUGCAAGAAUAAUAAUGGAGUCCUGCUCCUAAACUGUGAGCAAUUCCUCGUAAAGUUUUUCCUAUUAUCUCCUUCUUGUCUAAGUCGAAAUCCUUUGUUUCGGAUCAAAAACGAUGGAACGAAUGAUAUAAAUUAUAAUGCACGAAAGGAACAAUUCACAUCGUAGAUUACCUGAUAUUCAUCGUACUUUCCCGCAAUUAUAAACGUUUUAAGGGCCGAUAAUAUCUCCUCGAAGGUGAUCCAUAAUACUUCCGGUUUCGAUAAAUCCAGCAUUAUCAAGAGCGCCGUGUGAUGCGGCGAAUGGGUUAAGGCCGAUCCACUCAUAGCGGCGGAAAUCAAAGAAGAAGCUACAUAGCCAAUUUCCCACACGUGGACUAUGUUUUUCACCUAAAUCGUAAGUCGUAAAUGUCGAACGUAAAGAAAACACCUUGAAAAUGACAGAUGCUCACGUGCUCGUUCCUCUAGCAGUCCCGAUUAACUUUGUUUUCUUCGAUGUAUCCAUGACGACGAGGGAAAGCUAGUCAUGUCGCAUAGUUUGCAUUUACGCGAAUACACGAAUGCAUAUUAUCCGAAGAAAAUCUAUUUAUGAUCAACGAAUUAUUUUCUAGUUAGAAUUUAAAUCGAGAUCGGAUCUACGAUCAUUAAGACUAUGAUCAUCGCAUUUUCGAGUUUUGAAGUAAAUGUAAAAGUAAAAUUCUCAAUUUAGAGAAUCAUAGAGAGUUGUAAACGCAUUAAAAUACAUAAAUAAAAUAAAUCGUAGUAGACUUUAUACUAUUCGUUUUUUUAUAUAGCCUUCGCAAUACAUUAUAUAAGGUACAUUUUAAUUACAUGUAAAUAUUUCACCCUUCCUAGAUAGAAACAACCGAUUCGUACGUGCUAUGGCCUAAUGCAGAUCAUCAGUCUUGGUGAAGAAAUCCAUAAGGAUAUUUUUAAAUGGUGACCAGCUUUGAAUAGAUCGUUUUUUCUUUUCUCAUCAAUUGAUUCAAGAAAAUUUUCCUUCGCAGCUAAAUGAUACUUUGUACAUAAAAUUCAAUAUUUAUAAACUUUCUUUGCAUAAAAUAAAAUACAAUCGAUUGCUUCA